rnacentral:rRNA from 1 species
UUGCCUACGGGGCGCAGCAGUGGGGAAUAUUGCACAAUGGGCGAAAGCCUGAUGCAGCAACGCCGCGUGAAGGAAGAAGGGUUUCGGCUCGUAAACUUCUAUCAACAGGGACGAAAGAAAUGACGGUACCUGAAUAAGAAGCCCCGGCUAACUACGUGCCCGCAGCCGCGGGAAUACGUAGGGGGCAAACGUUAUCCGGAAUUACUUGGGGUAAAGGGUGAGUAGGCGGCAUGGUAAGCCAGAUGUGAAAGCCUUGGG